rnacentral:rRNA from 1 species
UACAGAGGGUGCAAGCGUUAAUCGGAAUUACUGGGCGUAAAGCGUGCGCAGGCGGUGAUGUAAGACAGAUGUGAAAUCCCCGGGCUCAACCUGGGAACUGCAUUUGUGACUGCAUUGCUGGAGUGCGGCAGAGGGGGAUGGAAUUCCGCGUGUAGCAGUGAAAUGCGUAGAUAUGCGGAGGAACACCGAUGGCGAAGGCAAUCCCCUGGGCCUGCACUGACGCUCAUGCACGAAAGCGUGGGGAGCAAACAGG